rnacentral:misc_RNA from 1 species
AGCAUGGGCAUUGAUUGUUUGGCGGUGUAGUUUAGUGUUUAGUUCAGUUGAUAAAAUUGUCAGUGUCUUCAUACAUCUUUUACCUGGGUUGGUUUUCUUCACAAUUCGCUGGUGGGAUCCUGAGUUUUUUGGAGCUAUGCAUCCUGAAGGAACUCCAGAACGAGCAUCAUGGCCUUAUGUAGAAAGCCAGUCCUACCUUUGGACUUGGCUAUUUUGGGUACCGUUAGCUGCAUACUUUCUCUGGCAGGUUCUCUAUUACCUUAUAGUAGAUGUCCUACGUCGACAGAGGUUUCUGCGAGACCCUGAAGUCAUGACAUCUUACAGGGAGCUCUCCAAAAAGGCAAAGAAAGCAAACAACGUAUGGUGGCGUGUUAGUGGUUUGCUUGGGGACCAGAAUCGCUUGCUUAUGUAUAUUCUGCUGCAGGCCAUAUUUACUGUAGCAACUACAGCGCUCACAGUGCCCAUAUUUCUGUCAUAUAAGUUGCAUGUUGUAUUCCAAAUCUUCAAAGUUUCAGCAUCUAUAUGGAAUGGUGGAAACUUUAUGCUUGAUGUGAUGCCCAGACAAGUGAUUCUCAAGGAGGAAAAGAAAAAGUCAAAGAUGUCAACUGUCCCCGACCAGAACGAUGAGAUUUCUUUACACGAGACCAACGACACUUCUGAAACAGUUCAUUCAGAAUAAUGGAAGUGUUCAUCAUCUGAUUUAGCUGUUGUUAACUUUUCUAUCUGCUUUACACAUGAAUGAAAGGUUUAAGUUGUGUGACUCACAAAGUUGUAGAUUUGGUGAAAGGGAAAAUGAACUAUCUUCAUUCUAUUGUGAAUUUGUAAGUGAGAUCAAUCUAGGUGCUCCAGCCAAUAGAUAUCGCUAUGCGUAGUUUUGCUUUUUGUCCUG